CAACUACAUGUCCCAGAAAGCCCUGCUCUCGGGUUCUCCUUCCGGCUGCCUUCUCCGGACUUCCUGGCAGCCCGAGGCUACCCGGACCGGCACCGAAACUCCGAGGCAACUCUUCACUUGUCAGAGAUACUGCGACCGGUUUCCGCACAUGCGCGCUCGAUGUCUGCAGCGCCCACUCGACGCUGAAGUAGCGGCGCGACUGGUGCGCUAGCGUUUACGAUAGGGUGAGGUGUGGACGACAGAGCCUGGAGCCCUUUGUCAGGGAACUGAACACACACACCUGCCCAGGAACUGGGGAAGCUGGAGGAGUCUCUAGAGGAAGGUGAAGGGAUUACAGACCCAGCUGUUCCUCACAUGAAGGAGGCAGACACCGGUGGUCCAGUGAAGCAGAGCCCUCCACAAGCCCGCCAGCCCAGACUCAGCUACCUUUUUG